rnacentral:rRNA from 1 species
UACGUAGGGAGCAAGCGUUGUCCGGAAUCAUUGGGCGUAAAGCGCGUGUAGGCGGCUCGGUAAGUCCGCUCUGAAAGUCCAGGGCUCAACCCUGGGAUGCGGGUGGAUACUGUCGGGCUCGAGUCCGGAAGAGGCGAGUGGAAUUCCUGGUGUAGUGGUGAAAUGCGCAGAUAUCAGGAGGAACACCAAUGGCGAAGGCAGCUCGCUGGGACGUGACUGACGCUGAGACGCGAAAGCGUGGGGAGCAAACAGG